GUGCCAUGGCCUGCCCAGCCGCCCUGCUGGCGACACGGCCUGAAUGGAGCCACAAGGGCCAGGCAGGGGGAGCCACCCUCACUCAUAGGGCUGCUGUGAAGAUUCAGGAAGUUUACUAAGGGCUUUGUAGACUGCGAAGAACUGAGAAAAUGGGAGAGAGAACUUGACGCUGGAGAAACCUGGAGGUCACCACCUUAAUUAAGUGACCCAAUUUGACAUCACCAGUCACGGAACCAAGUCAAAGCCAAGCAGGUGCCACCUGGGGUCGUCUUGCCACUGACGAAUCUGGCUAUAAGGAAUCAUUGACCAAACCCAAAUUCUACAAAUUAAUUGACCCGAAAUCUUCAAAAGUGUCAAGGCCGGGAAAGGAGACACUGGUCACUGGUUCAGACUGGGAAGGCCCGACCACUCAGGAUUCUGACCUGGGUAUCUUGCAAUGAUGGGCAUUUUUGCUGGGACAGUUGGCAAAACUUGCCUGAGGCCUGUGGAGCUGCAGGUGGCAACGUCUGGCGCUAACUUCCUGAUUGGAUGGUUACACUGUGGUCGUGGAG
rnacentral:lncRNA from 1 species